CAGGCUGGUUGGACGGUCGCGGCCUGGUCAUCCAGGUCGAGGAAAGUCCGCACUCCACAAGGCACGGCGUCGGCUAAUUACCGGGGCGGGGUAGCUCCGCAAGAAGUCAACCUGCCGGAUGAGGGCCACAGAAACAAACAGCCGGGCUCCCCUAGAGCCAGGUGAUGGUGAAAAGGUGGUGUAAGAGACCACCGGCGUUCACAGUAAUGUGGGCGGCCAGGUAACCCCCGCCGGGAGCAAGGCCAAACAGGGAUGAGUCCGUCUUCGGGCGGCAGGAGGCUGCCCGUCUCCUCACAGUCCCGGGUAGGCUGCCAGAACGGCGCGGUAACGCGUCGUCCAGAUAGAUGAUCGCCCAGGGGUGGAGUAUCUCCACACCCGGACAGAAUGCGGCUUAUAGAUCGGCCUGAGGC
rnacentral:RNase_P_RNA from 5 species